rnacentral:rRNA from 1 species
AUGGAAGAAGGUGGUUCAUCUACAAAUGCAGAACUACAGAUAUUGCAGAAUCAGAUGGGAGGUAUGGCUACGAGGUGUAGCUAUAGUCAGGGUCGGUGCCCGGGUCAGAGCGACGCUGUUAAGAUUUCAGCGGUGCCACCAACUGUAGUUAAUAUGGAGACGGCCUCUGUUCCGGGCAAUAACGCAGGAGAAGUUCAAAUUCAAGGCUUGCACACUCCAGUACAGCAGGGUGCUGUUAUUCCUAAUCCAUCAGAAAUCUCCAUUUUGUGCGCUCUGCCUGUAACUCACAUCUCACAUACUGGCCCCUCAUCUGCUAUUUAG